rnacentral:miRNA from 1 species
UACUGCAGACAGUGGCAAUCAUG